GGCUUCUUGGUCUAGAGGUAUGAUUCUCGCUUUGGGUUUAAAACCAAUUUGCGAGAGGUCCGGGGUUCGAUUCCCCGAGGAGCCC